rnacentral:rRNA from 1 species
GUAGGUGGCAAGCGUUGUCCGGAAUUAUUGGGCGUAAAGCGCGCGCAGGCGGUCUUUAAGUCUGAUGUGAAAGCCCACGGGCUCAACCGUGGAGGGUCAUUGGAAACUGGAGAACUUGAGUACAGAAGAGGAAAGCGGAAUUCCACGUGUAGCGGUGAAAUGCGUAGAGAUGUGGAGGAACACCAGUGGCGAAGGCGGCUUUCUGGUCUGUAACUGACGCUGAGGCGCGAAAGCGUGGGGAGCAAACAGGAUUAGAUACCCUGGUAGUCCACGCCGUAAACGAUGAGUGCUAAGUGUUAGGGGGUUUCCGCCCCUUAGUGCUGCAGCUAACGCAUUAAGCACUCCGCCUGGGGAGUACGGCCGCAAGGCUG